CUGUUUUUGGGUCCAUCCAGAGCAUACGCCACACUGGGAAGGCAUCGGGGAUAGAUGACGAAGGGAGGUAUGCUUGCACCAGCUGCACUGACUGCCAGGUGCACAGUGAUGUGCUCUCUGGUGGUGGUCUGCUGGCGGUAAACAUGCCUCCUCCCCUUCUGACAGAUCACCCGCUCCUUGGACUUUGGCUUGUCCCCGAAGCCGGACUCGUCACAAUUCCAGAUCUGACCAGGUGUGGCCGCGAGGACCCUGGCCCGAUCGAGGGAGUCUGGUGUCCGGGAGGUCAGCUCUGGAUGGCGGGUUUUAAAUCUGGACCACCAGUUGUCACUGAGUCCCUUCUCGACGUUUACCAGUGUCUCCCGGCUGCUGUCCUUAAUUAUUUCUAAGGCCAGGCAUUUUAUAAUGGACCUGGUCAGCGGGAAGCCAUGGUCAGCCAUCCAGCAGCCUCAAGAGUCUCCCUGCUCAUGGGGGAGAGAGAGGCCAGACACACGCCGGGCAGAGGCCAGCGAGCCACAGCGAGCCACAUGAUCGGCACAUCAUUUUAUUUUAUGUUAUUGUUGUUAACUGUUAGUUAAUUAAGUUAGUUGUUAAUGUUAACGUUAGUUCAUGUUCACUUUAAGUUAAUUGUUCAAGUUAAUAAAUCAUUUUAUUUUAUGUUAUUGUUGUUAACUGUUAAGUUACGUUAAAUUAGUUAAUUAAGUUAGUUGUUAGUUCAUGUUCACUUUAAGUUAAUUGUUCAAGUUAAUAAAAUGUUGUUUGAAAUGUAACCUCAGACAUUAACAUUAUUUUAAAGAUUUAUGUUUUUUAUGUUAUGUUUAAUGUUAACAGACUUUCAUGGCAAAUAUUGGACCAAUUAUGUGUUGUUGGUAACGUUGAAAAGGUUAUGGCUUGAAAAGUUAAAGUUACAAAUGUAUGCUGUCCCUAACCAGACACACAGAUGUGUUUUAAAAUAACUUUAAAACAGUCAUUUUAAGAAUGAGGUGCUGUUUCAGUGUUGAUGCUGUGAUACGCCGGUGGCACUGUUAUGCGCUGUUGGCGCUGAUAUUCAUGUCAAACAAAGUGCCUCUAUAAAUGCAUGUAUCCCUUCAAAAAGUCAA